UUCAAAAUUUCAUUUUGAAGAAAAGGUUUUGGAGAAACUAAUACGUUUGGAACAUAAAAUGGAACUUAAUGAAGAAAAAAUUAAAAAGUGGGAAGACGCAUUUUCUUCUAAAUUGGAUAAAAUGGAGGAAGCAAUAAAACGAACAGAGAUAUUUGUAGAAACAGUGCGAGAAAACCAAUUACAGGAACAAUCACGACUUAAUGAUUCAUUUCACGGAAUUGUCGA
rnacentral:lncRNA from 1 species